rnacentral:rRNA from 1 species
UACGUAGGGUGCAAGCGUUGUCCGGAAUUAUUGGGCGUAAAGAGCUCGUAGGCGGUCUGUCGCGUCUGCUGUGAAAACUCGGGGCUUAACCCCGAGCCUGCAGUGGAUACGGGCAGACUAGAGGUAGGUAGGGGAGAAUGGAAUUCCCGGUGUAGCGGUGAAAUGCGCAGAUAUCGGGAGGAACACCGGUGGCGAAGGCGGUUCUCUGGGCAUUACCUGACGCUGAGGAGCGAAAGCAUGGGGAGCGAACAGGG